AGGUUAGUCACUGCUAUUUGAAGUCAUCUGAGAUAUCAUCAUUUCCCACUUCACUUAUUUAUUUGUACCCUUUGUCUUUACCCCCAACACCUCAGACUAACAAAGGCUCACCUGUUGGAAGGUCCCUUUAGUGGUGACCAGAUGGUAGACCAUGUAGGAAGGCACACAGAUGAAGGAAGAGACUCCAAUACAGUAACCAAGGACCGUGGUCCAGAAAGGGUACAGGUGGGGGAACUCGUCCAACAUGGCUGUAAUUACCCCUUCCAGACCUGCAAACUGCAGCAAGAGGCAGGGGAUGACAGAAAAGUUUCAGGUAGAAGACAACUCCUCUCCAUGCUCCUGGCAGGGUGGCCCCUCUUAUCAACAGGAUCAGCAACACCAGGUUUCCAGAACAUCAUACCUUGCCAGAGGUCUUGACCCCCUUCCAGAUGCUGAAGUAGACAACAGUAAAGAUGAACAAAAGACAAAGGGCUAGCUGCCAGCUCACCCAGCCCAGUUGAUGAAGACCAGGAGAUAGAUGAACCUGCAACACCUGCCGGCUAAGGACAAGAAAGAAGUUGGUUUGCAGUUUAUCAAGGGUACCCAUCUUCUGAUGACUACUUCCAGCAAGAUAACGCGCCAUGUCAUAAAGUGUGAAACAUCUCAGACUGAUUUCUUGAAUAUGACAAUGAGUUUGCUGUACUCAAAUGGCCUCCACAGUCACCAGGGCUCAAUCCAACAGAGAACCUUUGAGAAAUGGUAGAACGGGAGAUUCGCAUCAUGGACGUGCAGCCGGCAAAUCUGCAGCAACUGCAUGAUGCUACCAUGUCAAUAUGGACCAAAAUCUCUAAGGAGGAUUUCUAUUGUCUUGUUAAGUCUAUGCUAUGAAGGAUGAAGGCAGUUUUAAAUGCAAAGGGGUAAAACCCGGUACUAGUUAGUUGUACCUAAUAAAGUGGCCGGUGAAUAUAUUUUAGCUUAGUUUAAAAUGUCUUGCUUAAUUAAAUGUUUUUUCUCUGUAAACAGACUAUGUGUACAAAUUCACUGACAUUACUAUGGCACAGAC
rnacentral:lncRNA from 1 species